GACGAACGCUGGCGGCGUGCCUAAUACAUGCAAGUUGAGCGCUGAAGGUUGGUACUUGUACCAACUGGAUGAGCAGCGAACGGGUGAGUAACGCGUGGGGAAUCUGCCUUUGAGCGGGGGACAACAUUUGGAAACGAAUGCUAAUACCGCAUAAAAACUUUAAACACAAGUUUUAAGUUUGAAAGAUGCAAUUGCAUCACUCAAAGAUGAUCCCGCGUUGUAUUAGCUAGUUGGUGAGGUAAAGGCCCACCAAGGCGAUGAUACAUAGCCGACCUGAGAGGGUGGUCGGCCAAAAUGGGACUGGGACACGGCCCAAACCCCUACGGGAGGGAGCAGUAGGGAAUCUUCGGCAAUGGAGGAAAGGCUGAACGAGCAACGCCGCGGGAGGGAAGAAGGGUUUCGGAUCGUAAAACUCUGUUGGUAGAGAAGAACGUUGGUGAGAGUGGAAAGCUCAUCAAGUGACGGUAACUACACAGAAAGGGACGGCUAACUACGUG
rnacentral:rRNA from 1 species